GUGUACCCCUAUUCUCUUCAUCUUCUUUUCAAUGACCAAAAAUUUGGUUUCACAAUGCCCUGCUUCAUUUUAGGUUUUCCAAAUUUCUCCUCUGCUUCUCUCAUUUCUUCAGUCUUUUCAUGUUCACUGUCUUCUUCAUUGACUCUUUCAAAUUCAAGCUUCUUAAUUGUAUUUUGUGGUAAGUUUUUCUCGCUUUUUUCUUCCUUAGUUUUUUUUUUUUGCUUCAAUAUUUUUCUUGUGCAAUUACUGAUAUUUUUAGAGAAUAUAAAGACAUGAAGUUUACAGAUGUGACCAUUUUUAUUUUCACUGAUCCAUUUGUGGAAAGGAAAAUUGGAUGAAAAUGACUAUAAACAAAAUAAUAUUUAACAACCAUCCAAACAAGUUGUUGAUGAAGAUGGAGAUACUGUUGCUCAAAUUUCGACAUACAUUCAUCAUCUGAAUCAAAUUUUGAUAUUUAUUCUUUUAGGUUAUUGUUCUCUAUUGUAUUUUCUCUAUAAAUAAUAUAUGAAUGUCAAUAGUAUUUUCUGAUUUAUUCAUGCAUCUUCACGAAUAAAUACUCAAGUUUCCUUAGUGCACCAAGGGUGUUUGAUAAUAUGCCUACAUCGAGAUGGAUCUUUGAUUCAGCACUAAAGGUUGGUCAAGCUGUGAACUAAUAAUUAUUUUUCCGUUCCUCGCUUCUUAGUGAACUUUUUUGUACUGUUGAAGGGAGAGAGGUAGAAAAGAGAUAUGCGAUACAGAAAUAUCAAGACAAAUAAAUAAAUGUCUUUUUUUCCUUUUCUUAAGUGAAGGAGAAAAGGAAAAAACAUAUGAUUGUUAUUUGUGGAAUUUGAACCUUUCAAUUCCAGGUAGAGUUUAAGUUAUUCAUAAAAUGAAUUCACCCUCAACUCCCUCUAAUUCUAUAUAGAAGCAACAUUACGUGCCUCAUUAUGAAAAAUCAUUUUUUUCCCAUUUUAUCACAGCUAAACUGGAAGGACCAAAGUUAUUUUCUUGCUUCCUGGAAUAAGAAUACAAGAGGGUACUUGAAUGUUUCUCAUAAUAUCAAAUAAUUUAGAAUAAUUGAAGGAUAUUCUCUAGAUUUGGUAACAACAUUUGAUGUUGGACCUAAUUAAUGUGCGGAAUGAUAGUUAAGUUAUCCGUAUGCGGUCAUCAUCAGUUGUAUUGGGUUAUGAAUGCUAACGAUAUGAAAUAAUGCAUUUAUUGCAAAUGAUGUACCUUUACAUUUGAGUUUUAUACAUGAUCAAUGUAAAUAUUUUUUGCACUAUCAGGUUAGCAGAUUUACAUUAACCUUCUUGAUAAAAUGUGCUACCCACAUGUAAAAAUUAUUUACGUUACGUUGACAAUGUAUAUUAUUUAUUAAACUCAUAUGUUUUAUUGUGCUUUCUAUUCUGGCUUUGAAAUUUGGGGCUGAGAAAAAGGUUGGGAUGUUCAUUGUUCAACUAAUUUGAGAUAUUAGACGAUGCUAUUGAUGUAAUGAAAUUGGAAGAUGGUGUAAUUCAAAACAUGGUAAAGUCUCUGAUUUGUAUUCACAAGUUGCAAUUCUUGAUGUUUUUCAUUGUAUUGAGUUAUUUUUCAUAAUAUUGACAAUUUUGACAAAUCUACAAUGAUUUUAACUCCACUAUAUACAUACUUGGUCGCCCAUGGAAGUAGUUUGAAAAGAUAAUUCAGCAAUUAUUUGGAAACCUUUCCUCAUGUUGGGAACCAAAAUGAGGUACAAGAAGCAAUGUAAAGUGUACUUCAAAUAGAACUUGAGUUGUACGAGUAGGGUUAAAAUAGUAAAUUCACUUUAUUCACUCUCUCACCUCUGCUUCUACUCUUUCUUCACUGCCUGACAACAUUGACAACCAUUUUAAACCUUCAACGGAGUUAAACUUUACUUCAGAGUCUCACUCCAACUUCUAAAGUUCUUUCAAUUGUUUACCUGAUAAUUAAUGGCUUGAUGCGGUUGCAUGUUUGACGAAAUUUCCCGUGAAGGUAAGACUUGUGUGUUAUGAAGAGAGAUUAGUUACAAGAGUUGAUUGUUUUGGCAGAUGAUUCAAGGUGCUAAUGAAGUUGAACGGUGGGCUUAGGUGAAUAGACAUUUUCCCUUAUAAUAUCUUUUUUCCAUAUGGCAUCUUCCCCAAAAAAAAUUGAGAAAGAAUUUGAGUUGCCGAAUUCUUUGAUGCUGCCAUGAAAUUAGAAGUGAUAAUGUAAUGCUGAAAAUUCAGGGUAAGCUUUCAGUAUUGAUCUUUUUGUUGUUUGAACUACAUUUUUGAAAAAAAUCAGCUACUAAUAUAGUAAGUUGAGGUGGUAUUCAAAGACAAAUUGUUUAAAUACAAAGUCAGAAUAACAAGCAGGUUGAAUCAGGCGAAAAGGUUGAUUUCUGGCUCUCCAAUUUCCAAGUCCUUUAAGGAACCAUUCCACAUUUUCUUAAGAACCUUUAAACUUUUGGCAAUGGACCGUGAUGUUGGUGUCGCAUUUAUUUUUAGCAGUUGUUCUUGGAUAAAAGCUGGAACUUUAAUAUUGAAAAUUCUGUUACUAGAUUGAGUUCUAGAAGUCUGUCAUAUGAUCUUAUGCUUUCUCAAAGUUUUUGUUUCAUGUGUUCAUAUUAGUUAGAUACAAUUGAUAAUGUUAAAAAUAUUUUUCAUCUGAUCAAUCCAGAAAAAAAUGAACAUAAGAAAUGUAGCAAAUAAGUAAUAAUGUUGACGCUAGAAUUUUUUUGAGAAAUGAGUGAGUAAUAAAAUGUCCGGGUAAUGGAAGAAUCCUAUAAGACUAUUAAUUUAACGCAGAAACAAACUCUUUUCUUUAAUCUUGAGUUUGUUGAUCAAGAAUAGCUACUAACUCCUAAACUUUUUUAUAUCAUACGUGAAAUAGGAGUAGUAAUUUGAGUAUGCAAUAUAAUAAUAUUGUGUUAAGAGUGCUGUCAUAUGCUUUUUAUAGAGAAAUAUCAACUUCAUGUUUUCUCUUUUAUUUGUAGCAUAAUAUUCUUUCAUCAGAAUUUUGUGUCAUGGUCAUUAAUGGGUUCCUUCUUUUGCUUAUUGCAUUUGAAGGUUUGGCAAUGAAAUAGAUGAAAAAAAUGGAGGUUUUGCUUGAUCCAAGUAUGAGCUCUAAAAUGUAUGUGUUUAUCUUUCGCAAACAUUUUUAGCUAAUUUAUUCUCACAUUCAUUUGUUUUUGAAUAUUUUUACUCUUUCCAUGUCCCUCAAUAGAAGUAAAACAAACAUUUAUUUUGUAUUUCACGAGAGACAAUUUUGUAUAUGAGAUGUAGGUGAGACGAAGAGAAGCUGACAUUUUUAGUAUGUGCUCUUUCUAUGUCCCCAAAUUAAGAAGCAUAAGGAUAGGUAGAGCAUGAGCUCUUGCAGACUAAGUUGUUGUAUUAUAUGUUAAAUGUAAUAAAAGGAUUUUCUUAGUGGUUUAUACAACAUCAAUGUAAUAUUAUGUUAUUCAAACUUAAGGUCUGAUUUGAUUGUGAA